GCAGCAGCCGCGGUAAUACGUAGGUGGCAAGCGUUGUCCGGAUUUAUUGGGUUUAAAGGGUGCGUAGGCGGUCUAUUAAGUCAGUGGUGAAAUAUCGCAGCUUAACUGUGAGGGUGCCAUUGAUACUGAUGGACUUGAGUGAAGUCGAAGUAGGCGGAAUUGACGGUGUAGCGGUGAAAUGCUUAGAUAUCGUCAAGAACACCGAUAGUGAAGACAGCUUACUAGGCUUAUACUGACGCUGAGGCACGAAAGUGUGGGGAUCAAACAGGAUUAGAUACCCUGGUAGUCCACACUGUAAACGUUGAUAACUCGCUGUUGGCGAUACACAGCCAGCGGCCAAGCGCAAGCGAUAAGUUAUCCACCUGGGGAGUACGCCGGCAACGGUGAAACUCAAAGGAAUUGACGGGGGCCCGCACA
rnacentral:rRNA from 1 species